CAUGGCUUAUAAAAAAAAAAAUACCACAAGGGGCUUUUUAUUCAAAAUGCCACAGUGGACUUAUUCACUAACCUAAAAGGAAUAGACGAGAAGAGAGGAGGGAGGGGAGGGAGAGGAGGGGCAAUGACGCUUCUUCUCCUCCCCCCUCUAUGAAGUUUUUCUUUAGGACUCCCGAAAGGAGAGAACGGCUAGAAUUUAAUUAUUAGAAAGGGAAAGAAGUUAGAUAGAUAUUGUUGUAUUACCGUCAAUUAAUUGAAGCCUUUAGAUU
rnacentral:lncRNA from 1 species